rnacentral:rRNA from 1 species
UACGGGGGGGGCAAGCGUUGUUCGGAAUUAUUGGGCGUAAAGAGCUCGUAGGCGGUUUGUCGCGUCUGCCGUGAAAGUCCGGGGCUCAACUCCGGAUCUGCGGUGGGUACGGGCAGACUAGAGUGAUGUAGGGGAGACUGGAAUUCCUGGUGUAGCGGUGAAAUGCGCAGAUAUCAGGAGGAACACCGAUGGCGAAGGCAGGUCUCUGGGCUGUAACUGACGCUGAGGAGCGAAAGCAUGGGGAGCGAACAGG